AACGAACGCUGGCGGCAGGCCUAACACAUGCAAGUCGAGCGCCCCGCAAGGGGAGCGGCGGACGGGUGAGUAACACGUGGGAAUUUUCCUCAAGGUACGGAACAACUCAGGGAAACUUGGGCUAAUACCGUAUGAUGCAGAGAUGCCAAAGAUUUAUCGCCUUGGGAUAAGCCCGCGUCAGAUUAGGUAGUUGGUGGGGUAACGGCCUACCAAGCCUGUGAUCUGUAGCUGGUCUGAGAGGACGAUCAGCCACAUUGGGACUGAGACACGGCCCAAACUCCUACGGGAGGCAGCAGUGGGGAAUCUUGCGCAAUGGGCGAAAGCCUGACGCAGCCAUGCCGCGUGAAUGAUGAAGGUCUUAGGAUUGUAAAGUUCUUUAGCCUGUGACGAUGAUGACGGUAACAGGAAAAUAAGCCCCGGCUAACUUCGUGCCAGCAGCCGCCGUAACAC
rnacentral:rRNA from 1 species